AAUAUAUAAAAAAGUGUAUACACUGCUGGGCACUAUGGGGGUGGAACCCAAAACAGACAAGGAUAUAUAUAAAAAAAUAUAUCCUGUUGUUUUGGGUUCCACCCCCAUAGUGCCCAGCAGUGUAUACACUUUUUUAUAUAUUU